AGCUCUGCUGCCAGACCUCUAUGACACUGUCCAGACGAGGCUCUCCCAGAGUUAGACGAGCCUAGGAAAAAAACCUUUUCAUGGAAUCAAUGCCAGUUUCAAAUACCACACUAUAAAGUGCUUCUACUUCUGAAGCUAGCAAUCAGAAAACCUCUGCCUGGAAAAGGGCUCUGAACCAGCUCCUAUUUUAAGGACCUGACACUGAGUUCUCGGUGGUAAAUGACCACAUUACUCUUUGGGGCCUGUGGGUGUCAAAGAAAAGAUGCAUGUGAGAAAAGUCACUGGCUGAAAGCAGAGCAUGUUUUGAACACUAAAAGUAGUUUAGUAGCCCAAGCCUGUUUUUGAUUAAAAUCAGAGUCCUUCAGAUGAAUGGAAUGUAAACCACAUACCAAUUAUUGGAAUCCCAUAAAGGAAACUCCCUUUUCCGUCUGUCUAUCCAUCCAUCCAUCUGCCCACCCACACAAGUACAGCGUCUCAGAAAUAUCCCUCUUUAGAAAUGAUGGAAAAACUCAGUGCUUGCUUCCUUUUCCCUUACCUCCCAGGUGCUGGACUGCAACUGAAGAGAUGAAAUUGCAACGAAACCACUUAAAUACUUAUCAAAGAAAUAGACCUGCUAAUUAAAAGGAUGGUAUUUCCUGGCACCUAGACAGAGUACACAAAGCUGAAUCUUGAGGCCUUCCUCAAGCAAACUUCUGUGGGAAUGUGGCUGUGUGAGGACUGCAGGAGCAAGUCUUAGAAUAAGACCUGCUCAAAAUGAAACCAUUAGGUCAGUGCACUAUCUAGAAAAAAAUGUACUUUCUGAAAAAUAAAUUACACGUAUACUUUUUUGGGUUUUUUUUUUUCAAAUUUCUCAUUACUUUGUAUUCCCAUUGCACUUUUGCUAGAGGCUCUUUUAUGACAUUAAUCAUAGUAAUUAAUCUUCCCAUCACGUCUAUGAGGCAGGAGAUGUUUCUGCUGGGUCAGCUGUGCAUUGCAAGUAUUACAGUAUCUACUUUACAGAUGGUAAAACCAAAACACAGAAGUUCAGAGACAGCAAAUCAAUGCCAGAGUAGGGUACAGCCCUGCUCCCCGCUCUAACCACAAGACACACUGUCUCUCGUAAGUAUACACUAAUCUCGAACAUACUUUUUAAAUGAGCAGAUCCUUCCUAUACGAAUAAGGGCAAUAUGUCUGUUUCAGUGAGUACUCUCUGCUUCUAACAUCUACGACCCUACUUACUUAAAGAAUUUCGAUCCAUGAUAAACGUAAUGUUAUGGCAUGUUUCUUAUGUUGCUACUAUAAUUGCAGGACGAUUCCGUUUGAAUGCAGCAGGCAGCCCUUGGACAGCUGGAAGAAGUUUCAGACAUUGCUAAUUUGGGUAGGAGUUGGUUCUACAGUGGCAUUACGGUCCAGUUCACUGCAGCGGUUUCCUGAUACUCUGCUGGCCUCUAGAGGGGUAACGCACACAGGGGCUAAAGCGUUAACCCCGUGAGUUUAAGCACUGCAGCACGCUCUUGAAGCUUUCUUGCCACGCAAGUCUUUUCUGUUUGCAAGGCUUUUAAGGAGUGCGGCUUUGUAGCUCUUUGGAAACACUUUUCUUCACUUCUCUGUUUUUCCUUCUGUCUGGGCAAUAGAUUCAAGGUAUUUUCCUUCUGCCUGAAGAAAUAAGGGUAAAAGAUCCUGGCAAUAAACACCUCUGAACCACUGAAGUGAGAAGCUCUGAGGAAAAGGUGCCAGAGGGUGCUUCAUCUUCAAAGCGCCUUGAAAACAUUUGUUAUCUGAACAUCUGCAGGACUGGAUGUCCUUCCACCGUUCAAAGUCUCUCCCACUACUGCACAAGGAGUCAAAAUAUGCCGGUAUGGAUGUCGAGGAGGAGUUUCAAGCAGUUGCUGUCACCAUGAUCUGUUGUGUACAUCUGGCCAGUAGUUUUCAUGCAAGAAAAAAACCGACGACUUUGAGGAACCCGGAGCGAUUGAGCACGAUUUGGCUUUCCCUCGUUAGCCAUCCAUGAACUCUGCCGUCGAGGAUCCUGGGCAAUGUAGUCCCCCAGGCCCUCCUUAGGGCGAAGGGGACCAGCUGGCUGAUGCCAGCGUUACGAGAGACUCGGUACAAAGAGCCCCGGGCACAGGGGCCUGAUGCAAUGCAACUGUGGCCCAAACAGCGGGCUUCGUGCGCAGGGCUGUCGGCGUCAGCCGCUUCUCAAGAGGAGCCCGUGAGACUCCCCGCAGGAGGAGGACUUGUGGGGAUGGGGAGGUGGGCCGGGGACACGCACUGGGAAAGAAGUUUUGUCUCUGGGUGCGGGGGUCUGGGAACAAUAGGAACAAAACUGGUUGGGAAUGGGGAUUUCUGUUCUAAAGGAAACUCCAAUGGUUUGAAACAAAGCUUAUUCCAAAGCAGAACAAAACCCUAAAAAACUUCUGUCAAACAAAUGUCUGACGGGGUUGGAUUACCAUUGAAAAAAGUCUUUUUCAGUAUUAGUGUUUUAUUUCCUUAGAAUUUUCAGUAGGAGAUUAAAUUACUCCCUGUGAUAGAUAACACCUGUAACAGAUAACUAUUUAACACAGUAUGCAUAGAUUGCAGUGUUAUAUAAACCUGGUAUUUGUUACGAUCUGAGCAUCUAAAACUUAAUUAAAAUGAUGAAAUCUAAGUUACAUAUUCCAGCCCCUUCCUGACAAUAAUCCCAUGGAAGCCAACCCAUUCCCACCAAAUUCUAAUGCUGCCAAACUGCAUAUUUUUAGCAAGUCUAAGCGGGGACAGCAGCAGCUGUCAUGCUACAGUUGCGGCCUACUGGAUGCAGUGCCUUUGCUACCAUCUGUGGGAGGCACAGUCCUAUCUUGACAGCACACCGGUGCUGGAUGGGGCUAAGCCCAGCUGUUGAAAUUUGUGGUCCAGCAGUUAGCAUUUUAGCACUUUUUGUAUGUACUUGUGUGCAGUUUGGGGAGCCAAACUGCUGAAGUCUAGGCUGUUUCCGUGGCCCUGCUGCCUAAGCAGAAAUCUCAUGAGCGAGCCUGUUUGUCUCGUCGCUCCAUCUCAGCAGAGUUCAGUGGCCCUUUUUCAUCUGCUUGUUCCUAGGUACAACCAGUAUUAGACUUGCUAUAGGUAGCACUGACACAUAAGAGAGGCUAGGAGUUGUUAUUGUAAAAACAGGUGUCACAGGCAAAGCUAAUCUAUCAUAACUUUUCAUUUUUGAAAUAUCCCCGAAGUAACAUUCUAGUUGUCCCUGAUAUGUUUAAAAAUUUUGUUGUACAGCCCAAGAUGAGAAUUUCUUAUAAGGCACAGUUCUUUACCGAUUUACUCAGGUGAACUUUGGUGCGUCCUUUCAGAAACCAGCAGCUAGAUUCACCAGAUAAGAAAAUGAAAACCAUUGCUGUGUGCAGAGAAGCAUUAAACUUCUGAAGCAAGAUACUCGUUCAGCCUUUUAAAUUGGGGUAAGACCAUCAUGCUCUGGCCCCACGACCUCUAGAAAGCUGACUGUUUUGCACCUUGGGCAGGUAGUAACACGAGAUCAGCAUAUCCUUAUUAAAUUUGGGGUUGAACUAUACAGAAAAUGCAUAGACCUGGAUAAGCCACCUGAAACAUUUCUAAGUGCUGUUUCUACAUCUCUAAACAAGACAACAAAGCAGGACAAAAAACACUUCACCAACCAGGUGUAAAUAUUCUGUCCCUUCAGUAAAAAGAAGGCAUCCUGCAUCUGGAACUGGAGCUUAUGUCUGCACCGGUAAUUGCAUAGUUAAUGCCAUCUUUAAAAGGGACAUAUGCUAUAAAUGGCUUUGCUGUCCCCCUACAAGCCAGGGGCUAUCACUGAAAUCUGCACAUCUCAAAAAUUCAUCUAGCAUGUCGUUCUCGGUAGAAUUAAAUCAUCUGCAUUUGGAUGUAUCCACCACCAUGAACUCAGCACUUUACAUGCAGAUUUCAGACUAAGACAUCUAAUUAAAUCAGCAGUAAUCAUGGCUACCUCUUGCCUUCAAAAGGGGUAAAUGUCCAUUAUUCCACAAGUAAACCUAGUCCACUCUGUUGGACUUACUUAUAGCUAUGUACAGGUGUGCUUCUGUGAAGAAGUAACAACAAGCAGCAUGGGGGGAGCUUUGACCAGAGGUGAGCAACUUCUCCCCUGCCAAAACCAUUCAGCUGCCAAAAUCCUCCACAGGACAUCUUAUCACAUGUCCAGCUCCAUGUCUGUCGAGCACCCAGCAGAAACAGUCAGGCAUCAGCACCACUCAGGUCAGUCAG